rnacentral:tRNA from 1 species
GGGCGAGUGGCGGAAAGGCAGACGCUGGGGACUUAAAAUCCCCUUCCCGCAAACUCGGGAGUGAGGGUUCGAAUCCCUCCUCGCCCA